CUUAAAAUAUAUAAUCUGUGCAAUUUUCAGAUAUAUAAUAUGCUUCUAUUUCUAGGGACACUGUGCUAUGUGGUUGAUCCUAUAAAGUUAUGCAUCCAAUAGACAAAUACAGCCAGGAUACUGUUUCAUCAUUCUUCCUUACCUCCUGUUUAGCAGGACCCUGAAGGACUGUGUGCAUUCAGACUGAAGGGGAAAAUCAAGCAUAUGAACAAAACUAACUUGUGUUUAUGGGAUUUGGUCUCCAUUUGGUCUUCUCAGGCACCUGUGAGAUGCUGAUGGGGACACUAUAGGUGUCAGGACCCUAUUCAGGGAACCCUGAGCAUGACUGACUCAGCUGCACUGUCAACAGCCAUCGCCAAGUGUUUCUGUUGUUGUUUUGAGUUCCCCACAGGGGUCUAGGGAAGUCCCACCAACGCAAGAGCUUUUUCUUCCAGCAGGCCUUCAAGGACAGCUGUCUGCUGCUUUCCUGGGAAGACUGUGUUUGACAGCAAGGAACACCAACAGUUUCACAGCAGUCACUUCUUGGCAGGACAGAUGGCCCGCAAAAUCAGACAUUCCUGGAGAGGUUCUCCAGCCACCAAGUCACGCUGCGCCUCAUCUUCCAAAAGUCCACAAGAGGGCACCCAAGAUCACCUAAGCAAAAACACAAGCUGUGGCAGUAAGACCAGCAGGUGGUGCUGUUGCUUCAGCCAUAAAAAAGAAGCCAUCCAAACUGCCGAGCCCCCAGUUCCUGGGCUCAUAUUCUGGCUGUGCCAGAAGGCUGAAAUCGGGGGUCAUUCUACUCUUCCUCCAUACAGCUCCCUUCACCUUCUCUCCAUCCAACACAAAUCUAUAGUGUCAGGUGGCCUGGGAUUCAGGAUGGAAAAAGACUAAGCUCCGGCUCUGAUGAAUUCAUCCUGGGUACAAAGGUGGUGAUGCUAAGGGAUGAGAAGACACAGUGUCACUCGGGAGAAAGACCUCAUCCAUCUGGGAGCUGCAGGGGACAGAGUCAGACAGUAAGGGCUUCCUUGGGAAGGGCAUCUUAGGUUAGGGCAUGAGGAGGUGGGCAGCACAGGCAGUGGCGUUCUCACAUGAAGGAGCACGGCUAAGGAAGGGGUUGGAUAGGAGCCAAGGACCAGAGGGUGUGAACAGCAGGUGGUGUGCAGACCUCCCCUGAUAGACUUCCUCCUCAACAUGCUUUGUGCAAUUACAAAUAGCAACAGUGUCCAUAGCACAUAUAUUCAUUUACAAGUAUGUAAACAUAUGCUCUUGUGCAGGCACAUGUGUGACACACAAGAGUAUAGGAGACCUGGAGAAGACACUGCAGCUGUGUCCACCGUGAGCUGGGGUUGACCUUGACUUGGUGUCAACAUUAGGCACCCUCCCCCUUCUCUUCCCUCCCCUCCUCUUCCUUUCCUUUUCUUUCCCUUCCCUCCCCUUCCCUUCCUCUCUCCUCCCCAUCUCCCCCUUUCCCUAACAAGAAAUACAAUAAGCAUUAUAUGGCAUCAGUUUGUUACUAUCUUGAAUUAAAGCACCGUUGACUCAGUCAGACCAUUAUGCACAUCCCUUAUUGUAAGAUAAGUAGUCACCAUAAGCAAGUCAAAUAAAGAUUCAUAUCAUCAUUUAUUCA
rnacentral:lncRNA from 1 species